UUUCCGUAGGUGAACCUGCGGAAGGAUCAUUAACAAUUUGUUAAUAACUUUUGUACCGGUGCUCUUCUGAGUGUCGGGGCAAUUGUCAACCAUUGUGAACUACCCGUUGCUUCGGCGGCAUGCCUGUGCUGUCAGUCCGUCCGGAGCCUACCAAAACUACUUCUGUAAACUUCAGUCAGAAACGAAAAGUAAAUCGUUAAAACUUUCAACAACGGAUCUCUUGGUUCUCGCAUCGAUGAAGAACGCAGC
rnacentral:misc_RNA from 1 species